UGUUUUUGUAAUUCUAACAUGGACUUGUC
rnacentral:piRNA from 1 species